AGCGGGACCUCGCCAUGGGCAAGUUCGACUGGGACCACCCGAUCCAUCUCCAACCAAUGAGCCCGACUGCUGUGAAGGAGCUGACUGUGACCUGGGAUGCGUAUGAGGCGACCAAGGAUGCUCAUGGAGUUUGUAUACUGACCGAGUGGGAUGAGUUCAAGCAGCUCGACUACCAAAAGAUCUAUAACAACAUGCAGAAGCCUGCAUUUAUAUUCGAUGGGCGCAAUGUGGUGGACG
rnacentral:misc_RNA from 1 species